rnacentral:tRNA from 1 species
CGAGGUAGCUCAGUCGGUAGAGCGACGGACUGAAAAUCCGUGUGUCCCCAGUUCGAUUCUGGGCCUCG